rnacentral:rRNA from 1 species
CGCGCAGGCGGACAUACAAGCUUGGUGUGAAAGACCGCAGCUCAACUGCGGGAACGCGCUGGGAACUGUAUGACUAGAGUUCAAGAGGGGAAGCUGGAAUUCCUGGUGUAGGGGUGAAAUCUGUAGAGAUCAGGAAGAACAUCAGUGGCGAAGGCGAGCUUCUGGCUAUGAACUGACGCUGAGGCGCGAAAGCGUGGGGAGCGAACAGGAUUAGAUACCCUGGUAGUCC